UUUGGGUUUUGUAUUUCAUAAUAUUUCAUUAUAUUAAGGUGUCAUACUUGAAUACCUUGUAGUUAUGAACUUCUUGCUUCUUUGAUAUGUGUAGUAUUAUUCUCCCCCCCCCCAAAAAAAAUAUAUUUAGUUUUGUAAAAAAAUUAAUUUCCAUAAGGUCUGUCAACAAUGAAUGGCUCUCUAAAUAAAGAUUAAAUACGAAUUUCAAAAGAAAAAAAUAUGUAUGAAAACUCCAUUCAAAAAUACUUUGGAAAGUAUCACACCAGUGAUUCUUCUGGUAUAAUUCAGGUAAGCUCUAAAUCUCAGUUUUCAUUGGGGACUUUCUUCAUUGCAUCGAGGAUGCUUUAUCAUCUGUAUUAUUAUAUUCACAAUAUAAUUGUUAAGGGCAUACCAUACAGUUACAGGGGAGGUAAUGACAUUGCUAACGCUAAAUGUUAUUUUCGCGACGUCAAACUGUGACAUAUCGGGAAAAGAUGCAUUUUUUCGACUGAUUUUUAUCACUCAAACUGAUUUAAUUUGAAAACCAGUGCAUGGACCCCUAUUUUUUAAAACAACAUACUGUUUCAUUUUGCAGGGAGGUUAUGUGAACCAAAUUUUAUAAAACUGUAAAUAGUGCAAUUUUUUUAAUGUUGAUAAAUAUACAGCCAAAAAAAAUACUUUUUUUCUCAAUUCAUGACCAUUUGAUAAAUAUGAGUUAUUUCUGAAUAAAAAAUGCACAAUUUUUUAGGAUUCUUAUAAAAUACAGAAAUUACAAAUUAUUUAACAAAAAACAAUUUGUGUUUAUCUUUUAAAACAAAAAAGUUAUGGCUUUCUCUCGAAAGGGAAAAUACAACCACAAAUCCUAAUUUUGGGCAAAUAUACAAAAUUUCGACCUCAUUUAACUAAAAAAAUAGCACAUGAAGGUAUAUUUUUUAUUACAUAUUUGAUUUAAUUAGGCGAAAAAUAGGCUAUAUGGAAAUUUUCAUCAAACUGUAAAUACGGGAUUAAAACUGUAUCGUAUGCCCUUAAAUGUUGUGAAUACAGAAAGCAAACAUAAUGAUUAUGAUAUGCUUAAACUUCAUUAUAACAAAUAAUUUAACUUUAAAUAUAAUGAAUAUUUAAACUGGAAUUGACUGUUCACAUGUUAUGUUCGUUGAUUGUUGACAUUAUGUGUUGAAAAACAGUAAUAAGUCAAAGGACUAAGAGUUACAAGACAGAAAGUCCAAAAGUCACAAGUAAAUUUGAUUGGUCUAUAAUAGAAUAGAAUGUUUAUAAAAAUGUCAAUUGAAUUAGUCUUUCUAUUAAAAAAAAUCUUUUGAAACCACAUUGUGACCUCUUGUUAUAUAUGUUUUAAUUGGUUACAUUUUUGUCUAUUUUGUACCAUAAUGCUAUGCAUGAAAAAUAUAUUAACUGUAUGC
rnacentral:lncRNA from 1 species